CCUUGUUACUGUAUCACUUGUAAUAUGCCGAAAGCUGUUAACAAUUUCCCAGAUUAUGUAAAUAUAUGGAGAGAGUUCGAUGGGCAGCGAAUGGGAGAGAAAAGAAAGAUUCCAUGGUUGCUAACCCACGCGAAACCAAAGUAAAACAAAAUGAGUUGAGAUCCAUGAGUCAAGGAGAUCCUGAGAUCGGGCACAUUCAAGAAUUUCAAGGAGAUCCUGAUUGAAGUCCAAGCCUUCUGCAUAAACUUUUCACGGAUAAGGGAAGCAGCUGGGCUAUUUAGGUUUCUCAAAACGAUGGAAGCAUCAAAUUCUUAGUUUCUUCCGAAAGUUGCAUGUUGUAAAUGAUGAUGGUUUCAUUGCGAGAUUUGUAGGAAUAGUUGCAUCUCUCUCUCUCUCUCUCUCUCUCUCUCUCUCUCUCUCUCUCUCUCUCUCUCUCUCUCUAGUUGUAAUAGAAAAGAGGAACAUUUUGAGGUUCUGUGGCACCAUCUGAUUGGUUCAGCCAAACAAGCCAUUCUUGCACUUUGAUUGGUCACAAACGACGGAGUCGUCAAUGUUAGUAGAAUCACACAAGCUAA